UAGCUCAGUGGUAGAGCUCCCGCUUGGUAUACGGGAAGACUGGGUUCGAUUCCCGG
rnacentral:tRNA from 1 species